GGAAGACAUUAUGUCAAAUAAAAUAAGCCAGGCACAGAAAGACAAGUACCUCAUGAUCUCACUCGUAACUGGAAUCUUAAAAAUUUUAUAUUAUAGAAGGUAGAGAGUAUAAUGGUAGUUACCAGUGGCAGAGGUGGUUGGCAGAGAUAGAGAGAUGGGAAGAUGUUGUUGGUCAAAGGAUACCUAAUAAGAUAGAGGAAAAUUUCAAGAGAUCUAUUGUGCAGCAAGUUGACUAUAGUUAAGGGUGAUAUAUUCUAUUCAUAAAAAAGAAAGUGGAUAUUUGUUAUGUGUUCUUACCACAGAAAUAAUAACUAUUUUUUAUAAAAGGAUAACUAGAGUUCUGUAUCAAGGAAACUCACAAGCUUCUGAGAAUAGAGACUUGACUUUCCAGAGUGGAACUUUGUAGAAAGAAGCUUGAUAUGGUAAUUGAAGGGCAAUGCUCCUAAAGAUAUGAACUAUUUGGGAGGCCAUUACAUUAAUGCCUUCAGCUUUCCGCACAGCCCAUAUUGCUUUGGUGGACGCUUUGAAAUGUCUGGUCGUUAUAACUCAGUCACUCAAGACACCUCACUUAAAAAUUCUAGUUAUGGAAUAAUUGUGAUGCCAUAGGAAGAAAAUUAAGCAAGCUGUCUACUCUUGGGAAAUGUUAACAAAUGCCUGUGCAUACUGUGAAGAGUCCACGGGGAAGAAAAUGAGCCACACAAGAUGGUCCCACCUAUAUUUAUUAUACACUGAUCACUAUGAAGACAUAAAGAUUUGUUAAAAGUGGCCUUUGAAGAGCAUGUAAUUGUGUCCAGAAUUGGCGGGUUCUUGGUCUCACUGACUUCAAGAAUGAAGCCGCAGACCCUCACGGCUAAGACAUCCAAGGUCAAAGGGCCUACAUCUGGUGAAGGUCUUGCUGCUUUAUCCCAUGGUGGAAGGCAGAUGGGUUCACAGAAAAUAGAAAUUCUUUACACAGUCUUCUGAUCAAUAGAAUCAAAGCCCUUUUUCUGUAAAUACUGGCUAGAGAGUUGCUAACUUCCAUAAUGGAGAAAUGGAAAAAGCAGUUUCUUUCUCCAAUAAAACCACAAAAGCCAUGGUUUUAAAAGAAACUAUAGAGGAUUUCUUGUGUGGAGUCCUUAGCUUUGUGACUGCUGAGAUUUAAGACAUAGGAAAUCAUGACUUCCUCGUGGCAGCCUCAUGAUUCUGAGAUCACAGCACGUGCAUUUGGUACAGCCAGCAGAGGUGGUGGUGUCUUCUCGAAUUCCUGACCUUCUUUCCAUGGCAGAAGAAGCAACCCUUUUGCUAACUGAGGUCUAUGGUGGUGUUCCUGGAAUCUCCAUCUCUAACCUAUUUACCUAAUCCUUCCAAAAAUCUUAUAUUGAAUCUUUUCAUGUUUAAAUUAUUUAGAAUGGUUUGUGGUAUCUGUAAACACUGACCAAUGCUUCCCACAAUAAAAUCAGCAGUAUGGAAAGAAAGAAA
ensembl:lncRNA novel transcript